GACGAACGCUAGCGGCGUGCCUAAGGUAUGCAAGUCGAACGGGGGCGUUCGGCCCUAGUGGCGAACGGUCGAGUAACACGUAGACAACCUGCCCGCAAGUGGGGGAUAACAGCUCGAAAGGGCUGCUAAUACCGCAUGUGGCCCGGAGGCGAUGGCCUUUGGCGCUAAAGAUUCAUUGCUUGCGGAUGGGUCUGCGGCCUAUCAGGUAGUUGGUGAGGUAACGGCCCACCAAGCCGACGACGGGUAGCGGGUCUGAGAGGAUGAUCCGCCGGACGGGGACUGAGACACGGCCCCGACUCCUUCGGGAGGCNGCAAUGAGGGAAUAUUGCACAAUGGCGAAAGCCUGAUGCAGCCAUGCCGCGUGAGUGAUG
rnacentral:rRNA from 1 species